rnacentral:rRNA from 1 species
GAGUGGAAUUCCAUGUGUAGCGGUGAAAUGCGUAGAUAUAUGGAGGAACACCGGUGGCGAAAGCGGCUCUCUGGCUUGUAACUGACGCUGAGGCUCGAAAGCGUGGGGAGCAAACAGAAUUAGAUACCCUGGUAGUCCACGCCGUAAACGAUGAGUGCUAGGUGUUAGACCCUUUCCGGGGUUUAGUGCCGCAGCUAACGCAUUAAGCACUCCGCCUGGGGAGUACGACCGCAAGGUUGAAACUCAAAGGAAUUGACGGGGGCCCGCACAAGCGGUGGAGCAUGUGGUUUAAUUCGAAGCAACGCGAAGAACCUUACCAGGUCUUGACAUCCCUCUGACCGCUCUAGGGAUAGAGCUUUCCUUCGGGACAGAGGUGACAGGUGGUGCAUGGUUGUCGUCAGCUCGUGUCGUGAGAUGUUGGGCUAAGUCCCGCAACGAGCGCAACCCCUAUUGUUAGUUGCCAUCAUUCAGUUGGGCACUCUAGCGAGACUGCCGGUAAUAAACCGGAGGAAGGUGGGGAUGACGUCAAAUCAUCAUGCCCCUUAUGACCUGGGCUACACACGUGCUACAAUGGCUGGUACAACGAGUCGCAAGCCGGUGACGGCAAGCUAAUCUCUUAAAGCCAGUCUCAGUUCGGAUUGUAGGCUGCAACUCGCCUACAUGAAGUCGGAAUCGCUAGUAAUCGCGGAUCAGCACGCCGCGGUGAAUACGUUCCCGGGCCUUGUACACACCGCCCGUCACACCACGAGAGUUUGUAACACCCGAAGUCG